rnacentral:rRNA from 1 species
CUAACAAGGAUUCCCCUAGUAACUGCGGGUGAAGCGGGAAAAGCUCAAAUUUAAAAUCUGGCCGCCUCCGGUGGUCCGAGUUGUAAUCUGGAGAAGCGUUUUCCGCGUCGGACCGUGUACAAGUCUUCUGGAACGGAGCGUCAUAGAGGGUGAGAAUCCCGUCUCUGACACGGACUACCGAUGCUUUUGUGAUGCGCUCUCGAAGAGUCGAGUUGUUUGGGAAUGCAGCUCAAAAUGGGAGGUAAAUUCCUUCUAAAGCUAAAUAUUGGCUAGAGACCGAUAGCGAACAAGUACCGUGAGGGAAAGAUGAAAAGCACUUUGGAAAGGGAGUUAAACAGUACGUGAAAUUGUUGAAAGGGAAACGCUU